GGUAUUAGUGUAAAAGCCCUCUCUAGAAACUUAAGGUCAUUGUGAGUAUAUGUUUUCAAAAAGUGUUUCUAGAAAAUUUUAAUGCGCAAAAAAAAGUCUUCAAUAAUUACAUUUUUUGAUAAGUGAUUGCUGGUGUCGGAUCUCGGACCUAACUUGCUUAGGGCCUAACUUGCGUAGGGCCACGAAUUCGGAUUGAUUAACUCGGGACCAGAUGUUUGAAGAUGGGCUUUUUACAUUAUGUCGAAAUCAAGAAGGACGGCCCAUCAAAUCCCAAAUCGAGACGAUAGCUGUUAGAUUCGGGGUAACGUUCGAAUCUUCCGAACUAAAAGAAAAAGCGCUGAUUGUGGGUUUAACCGUUACCUCGGGAGGAUCACGAAAGUAACGGCUAAUAUGUAGUCAAUGCUAAUCAAGUAGGGAGUAAAGGCAGAAGAUUCGAGCCCUGGUAGUAUAAAAAGGAUAGGUAUUAUAUUACCACAUGACGAAAGAUUUUUGUAACAUAAAUGAUAAACACGAUCGAUACAAUUCUCAUUUUAUGCUUUUUGUUAGCUUUACGAUUCAAUAUUACUUAUCUCACAAGGUUGAGAACCCCAAACCUUUCACGAAUAUUUAAGUGCGAAUUUCGACAUCCACAUUUUGGGAACUUUCAGUCUAAAUACCCUAGAGUACCUAUUGAAUCACUAUGGCAAUUGACGGAGAUCAAGCCUCCACGCUCGAUGAGAUCAAGAAAUUGUUGAAGGAUUUGGCCGACAAAUCAGACUAGCAACAGCGCUAGUACCAAUCUCUCAAAGAAGUUUGUCUCGGUUGAGGAGCAGUGCAAUCCACAACUAGUUGUCCUCACUACAGGUUUCUCCGAACUCAGGAAAGCUCACAACGCCUACGCCAAUCGGGUUGACACUCUUUCUACAAGAGCCUUGAGAACCUCGGAAUCAAGGGGACACUUGAAUUUCUUAGACCCCAUUCGUCCGAAUCCUCAAGUAUCUCAAACCAUUCCUAAUUCAGAGAUGCUAGCACCGUCUUACACUCCUAUUAGCUCCCAACUGAGGGGUAAAACUGGUAGAAGCUCUACACCUUCGCUCGUGUUUCACGUACCUUUUCUUUCUGGAGGUGUGAAUGCUUCCACACUAGGAGGAUUCCUAAGGACUCCUAGUCUCCUUGGAUCAGGAGCCUGACCCUCGUACCCAUCCUCCAGACUACAAAGCAAUUUUCCACCGAUCAGCCCAAAACUUCAAAGUAUUCAGAACGAGAUCAAGUCAAUUAACUCUAGAGUUUACCAGACCACCAGCUCUGCUAUUGAAGUGAACAUAGUAAUUGAGGAUACAAGGAGAAUCUCUUUUACACCUCACAUUUCUAUGUUGCGAAUUUGCGAUACUUGAGAAUAAAGCUUCGGAGCUAUGAUGGGAAAGGGGAUCCGAAGUCCCAUUCUAAAUUGAUGAGAGACGCGUACGCAUGAAACUACACGAGGAAGAUGCAGGGUGCUGCAAAUUGUUUGUCAAAAAUCUUUCCAGACCAGCUCUCCUCUAGUUCACUUACCUAGAAGAGGGAUCUAUUGAUAACUUUAUCUAGUUAUCAACGAUAUUUAUUAAGUAGUACUCUAUGUUCAUUCUGCACACAGUCACUAAUGCCCACCUAUAGAAUCCUUCUCAGGCUGCGAAUGAGCCGCUUUGGAAGUACAUCGUUUCAUUCAAAGAAAAUCAUGUUCCAGAUUCCAGAACUAUCAAACUCAGCGACAUUGUCUGCCCUAAAAAAUGGGCUUUGGCACGAGUCAUGUUUCUGCGAGGAACCGACCGUCAACCGACCCGUAACAAUCCAAGACGCAUUUCAUCAAACUUCAAAUAGAUUAAUGCUGAAGAAAAGCAGGCAACUCUUGUUAAAAAAUUCAGGUUUAUUGAAUGCUUGACGGUGUUGAGGAAAUUUGGAUAUCAGUUGCACGAUUAAGAAGAUCAUGGAGGCUGAAGUAUAAGCUCAAGAUGAAAGUAUAUAUAUUGAAGUCUUUUUAAUCGAUAUUUAAAAGGAGGAAUUGUAAGAGACGAGUGCAAAGUCUUGCAAGAACUGUCUCAAGUUUCUUCACUUCUAGACGGGUAAACUGCUAAGCAUAAAGCAUGUUGAUUUAGUAUUAACAACUGAAAAAACAUCCGGGAAAUGACGAACGCAGAGGGAACAAACUACAUUAACAAACAAGAACUAGUAAAGUUCUGACUCACCUAUUUGCAUCAUAAGAAGAAGGUACAUCUAAAGGAAGCUCAUGAGUCAUGAGUAUAUAAGGGGAAUAUUCAUAUUGAUCUCUAAGGGUUUAUGAUAAGUUAAGUUGCAUAGAGUGUUUUUCAGGAGAAUAUAUAAGAAUUCAAAUGAAGCAGAGAAAAGUGUGCAAACGAAGAUCAAUUAAAAUCACCUAUAAAUGUGUAGUGACAAGUAUGAGAAGGAUAUGUUUAAUUAAUGAUGUGUGUAGAUUAGUCAUUACAAAAUUAUGAGGGGAGAUAAAUUUUAGAGCGAGAAGCUUUGGAGAAUUAUGUCUCUAAGUUGUGGUUGAUGUUUUACUAUUUUUGUUGUACAUCGUUCAUACUUGUACAAUGUAGUUCAUAGUUUUACUAUAUAAAACCUAUCAGUGUAAGAUGUAUGCGCCAAGAUAAGACUACAAACAAGAAGUAUUGUUGAGUGGUAUAAAAGAAGAGAGAGUACAUUUCAUAGUCUCAGGAAUAUCACAUGAUAGUGGAUGUGAGACAAGUUCAAAAGAGCUUAAAGUAUUUCAAAUUUGUUAGUGUGAACGUUUUGCUGAUUUAAAAGGGUUUGAUCAAGUUUAAUUUGUGCAAAUAAAUUUAUUUCAAAAUAAGUUAGGCAACAUGUUCUCUUCAUAACAAAAGCGGUGCAAAGUGAUGUUCAAAGUUCAAACAAAUCACUAUAAGUACAAUCUUUGAUUAAAAACAUAUUUACCACUAAUAUUCGAAAAAAUUAAGCAUAUGUGAUCCAAGGGUGUGUGCAUAUGAUUUAAGUGAGACUUUGAUUCAAAGCUCAGUGUACAUGAGGUGGAUCAAAAGGCCGACAAGAGAAAUAAUCUAUAAAAGUUUAAAGGUAUCCAGGCUAUGAAUGAAACAAAAGGAUCAUUAGAACAAAAACUUUGAGAGAUAGUAAAGACACAAAAUCGGGAUUAGACAAGAAUACGUCAUGGAGAUUUAUGGAUACUAACUCUCACACAUGUAAACUGUUGGGGGUCUCACGACUUCAUCCAUGCCUCAAGUUUUUUCCAGGACAUGGAAAUGUUGAACUUUCCUCUCAACAACAGUGUUAACACACUGACUGAAAUGAGCAGUAUCAGUCACAACACACGAAUACUAGCUACCGUUAACUUAAACUCUUGUAAGCACGACUCAUUGUUAAAACCUAAAAACCUAUAAACAAAACCUAACAAAGAAUUGGAACCUGAGGAUAAUACUCACUCGCCAUGAAAUCACCAUAUUUAAGUCCAACCCAGGCAUAUAUCUCCGUCGGCGGGAUAAUUGUUGGAAUAGAUUUCUUUUCUAAUCAAGAAAAUGGAAAUUCUCAAGAAAAGAAAAUUCUCAGUUGGAAUAAGCUUAUUAUCUUCAUUUCUUGAAUUUCAACUUUUCUUGAUUAGAAAACUAAUAUACUCCAACAAUUAUCCCGGUGAAGAUAUUUACCUGGUUGGACUUGAAAUGUGUUGAUUUCAUGGCAAGUGAGUCUUAUGAUUUAUCGGAUUCCAAUUCGAUUUGGGUUUUUAUUUCUAAGUUGUAACAGUGAGUCGUACUUAAAAACGUUUAACUUAACGGUUAACUGGUAUGAGAUGAUGUGUUUGAUAAUGCUCAUUUCACUCAGUGGAUCAACACUAUUGUUAAACGGAAAGUUCAAUAUUUUCAUAACUUGGACAAAAUUUGGGGGCUGGAUGAAGUGGUGAUACCUCCAACACUUUAUAAGUGUGAGAGCUUGGUAUCCUUAUCUCGGUGACGUAUACUUGCCUAAUCUCAAGUUUGUGUUUUUACUUUCUCUCAAAGUUAUCGUUUUACUUGAAGUUAAGUCUCAAAAUUUUGUGUUAAAAGAAGUGAUAUUGUAAUAUUUGAUGGCUCGGGAAUGGAUGAUUGCUUUGACGAUUUUGUUCAUUGAUGGUUGAUCAAGUGCUUGGAUCUUGGAAUCGUCAUCGGAUUCUCAAGAUAUAUGAGUGUGGUGGAAACUGUAAAGCAAGUGGAGGGUCCAACACAACCUUACUCAAUUGUCACUUGUAAGGCCGUAAGUAGUUACUAAUUAGUCACCAGGGUUGGACACGGGACGGGUAUCCUUAAAUUUUGAGAUAUCCUUUACUCGACAUGAUCCUUACAAGUAGUAAAAGAAAUUUACUCUUACUCGAUCAUCUAAUAACGGGUACCCGGUAAAAAUCGCUGACCCGCUAUAUAUCUGACAUUUUACCCUUACCCGCUAUAUAUCUGACCUUUUACCCGUACCCGCAUAUUUAUUGAUAAUUAUGUAUAAAAAUAUUUUUCGUAGUUGCAUAAUAAUUUCAUAUUCCAAAACAUAAAUAUUUAUUUUUUAAAAAAAAAGAAAGAACUCAAAAAUAUAUGCACUAUAUAAUUGAAAAAAAUAUAAAAUUAUAUACUUAGGCUUUAACUUCCACUCUAUGAUAUAUUUAUAAAAUUUUAGUAGUAUUAAAAUAUACUAACAAAGCCUUAUUAGUCACCAACAAAAAGGAUAAAAGGGUCUAUCUACUUCUUUUGUUCUCUGCUACCAGAGAAACUAUUUACUAACUUCAAACAAAAUGAUAUUUAACUUAUCUAAUAAUUUUUAUAUAAUCACCUUAUAUUAUAUAUACAUAUAUAUUCAUACAAAUAAUAUUUUUCUACGAACCUAUAUUCGUAAAAUCAUACUUAAAACGAGAAUUAAAUUAAAAUUAAUAUUUUUUGAAGUAUAGAAAUUUAAAUUAAUUUUCAUAAAUAUUUGAUAACAAAUUUAUCACAUAUAAUUAUACCUUAAAAUUAAAAGACAUGGAUGUGGAUGGAGUUUGGAUGGAUUCAUGAUUACAUCAACUAGAUCCAGGAUCUUGGCUUUCAAAAUCUUAUUUUUCGAAUGUAAUAUCCCAAAUCCUGAAUAAAAUGACCAUAUUUAGUUUAUCUCAAAUCCGUUUAACUAUUUUUUCUUUCAAAUCUUCAUUGAUUUAAUCACAAAUAACUAAUCAAUAAAAAAAAAAAUAUCUAGAUGCGGAUGAUCAUACUUUUAAAUUGACAAACAUAGAUAUCGAUUUAGUUUGGACAGAAUCAUGAUAUGAUUAGCUAUAUCUUGACCGUUCACCUUCAAUAUCUUAAAUCUUCAUAUCUCAAAUCCUUAACAAUUUGACCAUAUUUGGUUUGCUAAAAUACGAUUAGCUCUUUUUCUUCUUCUUUUUUAAAAAAAUUUAAAUCCUUAUUGAUCUAAUUACAAAUGUCGAACCAAAUAAGAAAACAUGUCAAGAUGCGGAUAAUCAUACCUUAAAAUCGAGAAACAUAGAUAUGGAUUGAUUUUGAACAGAUUCAUGAUUUCAUCAAGUAGAUCCAGACCGUUGACCACCUUCAAUAUCUUAUUUUUCGAACACGCAAAAUCUCAAGUCAUGAACAAUUUGACCAUAUAGUUUACGCAAAUCCAAUUAACUUAUUAUUAUUAUUAUUAAAAUUCUGAUGGAUCUAAUCACAAAAAGAAUAACAAUAUAAGAAAACAUAUCUAGAUGCGGAUAAUCAUACCUUAAAAUCGAGAGACAUAAAAUAUGGAUUAAGCUUGAACGGAUUCAUGACUUCAUCAGCAAGAUCCAUGCUGUUGACCGCCUUUUUACCAUAUAGUUUACCCAAAUCCAAUUAACUUUUUUU
rnacentral:lncRNA from 1 species